UACGGAGGGUGCAAGCGUUAUCCGGAUUCACUGGGUUUAAAGGGUGCGUAGGUUGGGCAGGUAAGUCAGUGGUGAAAUCUCCGGGCUUAACCCGGAACUGCCGUUGAUACUAUCUGUCUUGAAUGUAGUGGAGGUGAGCGGAAUAUGUCAUGUAGCGGUGAAAUGCUUAGAUAUGACAUAGAACACCCUAUUGCGAAGGCAGCUCGCUACACUAUUAUUGACACUGAGGCACGAAAGCGUGGGGAUCAAACAGG
rnacentral:rRNA from 1 species